ACAGCUGGGACCACAAACGAGAAGCAACAAAGACACAGUGAGAAGAGGAAAGUGCCAUGUCAUCGUUUCUCUACAGUGUAAACUGUCAAAUAAAGAGGCACGAGUGUGUGUGUGUGUGUGUUUGUGUGUGUGUGUGUGUGUACGGCCAUCUUUUUGAGUUUGAGGAUUUGGUUGAAAAUCCUGCAUUAAAACAAUGAGUUUAAGAGCCAACGACGGCCUGAACGCUGGAACCUGCUGCCGUCACUCAGUGCUGAGGCCUUUUACUGAUUCUUUGGGGUUUUUUACCCAUGAAGCAUGUGACCAGAGGUCAGGGGUGACUGAUGAGACCUACUGUAUAGUGACCUUCUCUUUUUCUUGGUACCACUUUGUCAUCCUUACUGUACCAGGUCUGAGCAGUUGUCUAAAUAUUUACCAGAAGUUGACUAGUAUCGAGACCUCUUCCAUCAAAGCUGAUCCUGAAUCGUGUCCAGCAUUUUCAACCAAAUGCUCCAGAUGUCUACACCUAGAGGAGGUCGUGAUAAUUCUGUUGUUGAUUAACUGUAAAGACUAAAUGAUGAGGUGGGGUGUAGCUCAGAUAUGUAAAACACAGUUUAUUAAUACAUGGUUCUACAUUAGUAGACAGAGAUGGAGAAAUUACGGUGGAUGCUGGAAAAACAUGGAAAAAGAAAAACAGGGAUCAGUCUGUGGAACUGUGUCUGUGACCACAUGAACCUCUGGCUCCAUCUCCAGCAGAUGAACUGAUGGGCUAGAAUUGAACUCAAGUCUAAGAUGAUAAAUAAUAAUAAAUCCCAAGCAAUCCACAGCAAUGCCCACGCUCCACUACUGUUACACUAGCUGAUCUAAUCACUAACGGACAGAAACUAGAGGGCGGCGCUACGGUCGCUAGCUACAGGGGAACGUGUAGAAUAGUCACCAUGGAGAGACAGGCAGACGCCUGCAGGCUGGUCUGGGUGCGCGACUGGGGGAGGGCGGAGCCUAUGUCUUAGGUUGGAACAAAGGGAAAGCGUUGGCUCUAUUUACAGGCAGUUGAGCAGCAUCCUGUCACUAACACUACAGUGUUACACCAGUUCAGCACAGGCUCCUGAGAAACACAGCGUCAAACAUCAAGUCAGACUGAAGCCCAUCGCCUGCAGGGCGCGCGUCGGCAUUCUGUUACAAAGAGUGAGCUCCUUCAUUUAUUACUGCUCUAAACAAGAAACACGGCAGCAUCAUUAACAUGAGAGCGGUAUUAUUGUGUUUGCUAUGCAGGGAUUUCAUCAGCGCUCCGACUGCGCUGGACUGGAGAACACGGGUCUGUGUUUUCAUGUGGUUCUUUCACGUGGAGAAGGAUCAGACGGCGUUUGGUUCUGGAGCUGCUACCUGAGACCGGGCGCUUGACCUCCAGGGACAGAGUCCUGGGAAGGUUGUGCAUCAGCUGGCAGACUUCCUGGUAGCUGCAGGAGCUCACCAGCUUCUCCCCAAUCCUCACUAUCUCAUCUCCCAGACACAGCUUGGCCGAUGAUGCCUGCAAACACCAUCACAAGAGGGCGGGAGCAGUCAGUGGUGUGUGGUUGUGUGGCGUGAAGGCUGAGCGCGCUGACGUACCCUUUGUGCUGCGCCUCCAGGCUUCAACCCCGUGAUCACCACUUUCAGAGGGAACGACAUGAUUUCCAGGUUGAGCCCAAAGGACUCCUCCUGGUUCCUCCUCAGGGUCACUGUGUGGACAGUGCCGCCCUCCAGCAGCGGGCGUGCAUCUGCAUGUCCCGCUGCUCCACCUGCAGGCUGCAGACCAGCACACGGGUCCUGGGCUCCGGCCCGGAGCCUCUGGGCCAGGCAGCCUGCUUCAGGGCUCAGAGACCCUUUCAGGCUCAUUGCUUCGCGCUCCAGCUCGGGGCAGCGCCUCGGGUCCACCCGUCCAUCCAGCCGAUCUGGACGGGUCACGACAGCAGACUCCGUGCCGCUCGCUGCCGCCUCUUUGUGCUCAGAAGUGUCUUCAAACCUCUGCAGAUCUCCACCAUCACUGUCUCCAUCCACAUCCAAAGACGAAGUAGCAAUGAUGAUCUCUGAAGCAGCUGUGAACACGUGCGGGGGGUGUCCAUUGCUGAGGCUCUCAGUGUGUGUGUCAGUGAGCGCAGUCGUCCCAGCGUUGUCUGAGUCCUCAUUGGCACUGAGCUCGUCCUCAGAGCACAUGAGGCGGCGCUGGCGCAGCAGGGGGCUCCGCACCAGCCCGUCCGCGGGCUGCACCGCUGCCUGGAUGCUGGCGUCCGGCGAUGAGCCGGGCCUCGGGCCACGCUCCACUUCUGUGUGACAGGAGAAACCAGCCCAACACUAAGAACCUACGGCUGGGAUUUAUGUUCCAGUUCUCAGAAACAGUAUCAUUUAUGCUCCAGUUCAGGUGCAAACACAAUCAUGACACAACACUGUGAUAAUUAGUGAGUAUGAGUUCACACUUCACACUUCCGCAGAUGUCCAGGUUCUCAUUCAUCAUCAGAGCCAUAAUACGUAUAAUGGUUCGGUACCAUCUGAUUUCAGCAGAAUGAAUGCAGAAGCUCGUGUGUGUGUCCGUGUGCAUGUGAUGAACAGUGUUACCGUGUGGCUGUGAAGCGCCGUCAUCCACGGAGGCAGUGCAGCUCUGCUGGUGCAUCGCCUCAUCGCUGUGGGAGCCCAUCAGCACAGAUUCAGGCAGGAACGUGGGGCUGGAAACCUCCUGGGAGAAGUACUGAGAUAACUCUGACUCUGAGCUCAGAGAGCCCUGCGUCAGGAGAAACAGAUCGUUCAGUCUGUAUCUCUACUACUACUAACACACGCACGCACACACACGCAUGCACGCACACACGCGCACGCAUAUACACGCACGCACAUACACACCGCACACACACACACGCACGCACACACACGCAUGCACAUACACGCACGCACGCACACACACACAAACACACACACACACACAAACAUGCACGCACAUACAUGCACGCACGCACACACACAAACAGAUAAUAUAAUAUAUAUGUAUUUAUGGAUUGUAUAUAUAAUCAUAUAUUAUCUUGUGUAGACAUUUCACAUGACCAUGAACUUAAGUUAAAGUUAAUAUGAAGUUCCUCAUAACCUGUACAUCAGGUAUCUGAACAAAAACCCAAGGUUUAUGUGUAAAAUUGCAUUAACUUCUGCAACCCUCUAUUCUUAAGCUAUGUGAUUUAAUGAAGCCUCAGUUUUAGGCAUGGCUCCUUGUUGAGCGCUGGGUCCAUCGCUGCCGUAUGUCCACUAGUCAAAUAGAGCAGCUUGAAGGAGCCUUACUCUGCUGGCCGGCUCAAGGAACCUCUUCAUGGUCCAGCUCAGCGCCGGGGAGCUGUCUCCAGCACCGUCCCUCAUCACUGGGUUAGAGGUCCUACCUGCAGAUCAAAGCACUGUGAGUGAGAGGCUCAUCACAGCUGACGACAGCCUGAGAGUGAGUGAGCUCAAACCUGGGGACAGAGACGAGGCCUUGUUCCUGUUCAUUUUGUCCCUGUGUGUGGUUCGAGCUAUGAUCUGAUCCAUCUCCUGUUCUGAUACCUGAGAACACACAAAACAUGUUAUAAAGGCUUUUAUUUUAUUAAAACAUAACGUAAACUCUGCAGAUUUUAUGGAUUAGUGGCAAAUAAAGCUACAAUAACUAUUAAUAAAGAGGAUGGAUAUGUG